rnacentral:rRNA from 1 species
UACAGAGGUCCCAAGCGUUGUUCGGAUUCACUGGGCGUAAAGGGUGCGUAGGCGGUCGGGUAAGUCUGAUGUGAAAUCUCACAGCUUAACUGUGAAACUGCAUUGGAUACUAUUCGGCUUGAGAGUUGGAGGGGGACUGGAAUUCUUGGUGUAGCAGUGAAAUGCGUAGAUAUCAAGAGGAACACCAGAGGCGAAGGCGGUUACCUGGACAGUUACUGACGCUCAGGCACGAAAAGCGUGGGGAGCGAACAGG